rnacentral:rRNA from 1 species
AUAUAUGGGUUGGUAAACUUCCUUUUAUUACGGGGGAUUAAAUGAUUUCCACAUGUGGAGGAUUAUUAGCCAGUUACCGGCAAGGAAUUAAGGAGCCCGGCUAAUUUCAGUUGCCAGCCAACCCGCGGUAAUACCGGAAAGGUUCCGGGCGUUAAUCCGGAUUUAUUGGGGUUUUAAAAGGGAGCGCAGACUACUUGCCAAGCGUGGCAGUGAAACGCCGUGGGCCCAACCACGGUCCUGCUGCGCGAAACUGGCCUUGCUUGAAGUGGGCCGUAGGUACCGCGGAAAUUCGUGGCGUAACGGUGAAAAUGCUUAGAUAUCACGAGGAACUCCGAUUGCGAAGGGCAGCGUACCAUAUCCCAACUGACGUUUAUGCUCGAAGGUGCGGGUAUCGAACAGGAUUAGAUACCCUGGUAGUCCGCACAGUAAACCAUGGAUGCUCGCUGUCGGCGAUAAAAUUGCCGGUGGCCUAGCGAAAGCGUUAAGCAUCCCACCUGGGGAGUACGCCGGCAAACGGUGAAACUCAAAGGAAUUGACGGGGGCCCGCACAAGCGGAGGAACAUGUGGUUUAAUUCGAUGAUACGCGAGGAACCUUACCCGGGCUUGAAUUGCAGAGGAAAGAUCCAGAGAUGGUGAUGCCCUUCGGGGUCUCUGUGAAGGUGCUGCAUGGUUGUCGUCAGCUCGUGCCGUGAGGUGUCGGCUUAAGUGCCAUAACGAGCGCAACCCCUCUGCGUAGUUGCCAUCGGGUGAUGCCGGGCACUCUGCGCACACUGCCACCGCAAGGUGUGAGGAAGGUGGGGAUGACGUCAAAUCAGCACGGCCCUUACGUCCGGGGCUACACACGUGUUACAAUGGCAGGUACAGCGAGUCGGGAGCAUGCAAAUGUUCUCCAAUCCCCAAAACCUGCCUCAGUUCGGAAUGGGGUCUGCAACCCGACCCCACGAAGCUGGAUUCGCUAGUAAUCGCGCAUCAGCCAUGGCGCGGUGAAUACGUUUCCGGGCCUUGUACACCCGCCCGUCAAGCCAUGAAAGCCGGGGGCGCUUUGUCCGUGACCGCGGGGGUCGGCCUAGGGCGAG